rnacentral:rRNA from 1 species
UACGUAGGGUGCAAGCGUUGUCCGGAAUUAUUGGGCGUAAAGAACUCGUAGGCGGUUUGUUGCGUCGGCUGUGAAAUCCCGAGGCUCAACCUCGGGUCUGCAGUCGAUACGAGCAAACUAGAGUGUUGCAGGGGAGACUGGAAUUCCUGGCGUAGCGGUGAAAUGCGCAGAUAUCAGGAGGAACACCGGUGGCGAAGGCGGGUCUCUGGGCCGAUACUGACGCUGAGGAGCGAAAGCGUGGGGAGCGAACAGG